rnacentral:rRNA from 1 species
AUUGAACGCUGGCGGCAGGCUUAACACACGCAAGUCGAGCGGGGGAAGGUAGCUUGCUACUGGACCUAGCGGCGGACGGGUGAGUAAUGCUUAGGAAUCUGCCUAUUAGUGGGGGACAACAUCUCGAAAGGGAUGCUAAUACCGCAUACGUCCUACGGGAGAAAGCAGGGGAUCUUCGGACCUUGCGCUAACAGAUGAGCCUAAGUCGGAUUAGCUAGUUGGUGGGGUAAAGGCCUACCAAGGCGACGAUCUGUAGCGGGUCUGAGAGGAUGAUCCGCCACACUGGGACUGAGACACGGCCCAGACUCCUACGGGAGGCAGCAGUGGGGAAUAUUGGACAAUGGGGGGAACCCUGAUCCAGCCAUGCCGCGUGUGUGAAGAAGGCCUUAUGGUUGUAAAGCACUUUAAGCGAGGAGGAGGCUACUCUAGUUAAUACCUAGGGAUAGUGGACGUUACUCGCAGAAUAAGCACCGGCUAACUCUGUGCCAGCCGCCGCCGUAA